rnacentral:lncRNA from 1 species
GAUUUUCCUUGAGGGAGUUCUGUUUAUAAGAGCAGACUGGUGAAUGGAAAAUAUUAUCCAGGAAAAUAGAUGAUCCUUUCAGCCCAGAAUAAGAAAUUAGAAGUUGUGCAGUGUUUAUUAAUUCUCCCUUCUACUCAAGUAGCAUGAAUAAAAGAUAAAUAUGAAAUUGCAUCUCUUCAUGGUAUAAUGAACUCAGCGUCAAAUCUCUGGCCUACCUACCAUGGCUUUUCCCACAGGAAAGAAAGCCUGGAUGAAACACCCACCAAGGCUGUCCUUCCACUUGUCUUACUUUACCAUGCCAGGUGUAUGUUAUCCUCUGGAGGAGGUAAAAGGCUAGAACCGCUGUUUGGUUUGUGCCAACUUGCAGGUGUGUUUACAUAUAUGAUGCCCAUUAUGCCUGAACAAGAUCACAUACAUAGUAAAGGAUAAGUUGUUGGGAGGGAUCGUCUACUUCUUUAAGGUCAUUUCCAACCUAAGCCAUUCCGUGAUUCUAAGCUUCAGUUUGACUCAACCUGCUUGUUA